rnacentral:lncRNA from 1 species
UUGGACAGUGCUGCUCUAGAUGAGCAAAGUACAGGCUGUAUCACUCAUCAUGUAUGGUCAGCUCCUAAAAUAACUGUAGACACACAGGAAGCUUUUGCGUCCACACUGCCUUAGAAGGUCAUGAACAUUUUUAAUAAGAUUGAUUUAAAAAGGCAGAGCUUAAUUGAAAAAUGUUGAUGAUCACGAAAUGAAGGAUCCAUAGUGUCAUUUCCUUAGAAGGCUUAGAUUUGUCACUGAAACACGGUGAAAAGCCAUUUUGCCAUAGAAUUUCUGUGCUCUGGGAAAAUGAAAGGUUUAUUAAAGUACAUUAAAAAUCUUACAAUCUGGCUAGGUGAAGUGGAUCACACCUGUAACCCCAUCACUUUGGGAGCCCUGAGGUGGGAGGAUUGCUUGAGCCUGGGGGAGCCUGCUGCAAUGCACUGCACUCCAGCCUAGGACAGAAAGCAAAAAAAAAGAAAACACCCCAUUACUUCAUUUUCAUGUAUAAAAAAAAUACCUAAUGAGCAAGUUGGCAAGACUUAAUUCCAGCUUUUAAAAUAAGGCUGUCAAUCUUAUUCCUGUAGUCUUCCCUGAUUGUAAUGUGCUCUCAUUCUGUGAUGUUUUCCAAAGGAUUUUUCAAAGGAAAGCCAAACCUUAUUACUUUGCUGUAACUGAAGUAAAUUAACUUCAAGUUUUGCAGGCCCCCCCCACCCCUUGGCUCCAGAUUUAUGUUCAAUCUAGUAACAAAACAUUUUCUAGGCUGGCUGCAGUGGCUCACGCCUAUAAUCCCGGCACUUUGGGAGGCUGAGGAGGGUGGAUCACCUGAGGUCAGGAGUUCAGGACCAGCCUGGCCAACAUGGUAAAACCCCACCUCUACUAAAAAUACAAAAAUUAGCUGGGUGCGGUGGUACGCCUGUAAUCCCAGUUACAUGGGAGGUGGAGGUGGGAGAAUUGCUUGAACCUGGGGGGCAGAGGCUCUGGCAGUGAGCCGAGAUUGUGCCACUGCACCCAGUUUAGGCAACAGAGCAAGAUCCUGUCUCAAAAAAACAAACAAAAAAAAUUUCUAAUAUUUUAAUAUUUU